rnacentral:lncRNA from 1 species
GAUUUUGCUGUCAGAUUCAAGAAACCAUUGCCAAAUCCAGUGUCUUAAAGGACAUCUAUUAAAUUUAUCUUUCUUACAGAAUCUAGAACUCAUAAAAUACUGUCUUGUUGAGUGACUGAAUGAUUUCAAAAUUAACCACCAAUCAAAUCUUCAUAGUUUCCCUACUACAAUUCCAUAAUCUCUAUGCACAUUUUUUUUUAUUGUAAAAACUGGGGGAGUUCUUUUUUUUCUCUUUCUCAAAUGAUCUUUCACUCUCUGCUCUAGCUAUUGUGUUCUUUCACACAGUGCAUACAGCUCCUAAGGCCUUAAAAGAAUGUCGAAAGAAAGAAGGAAAGAGAGAAGAAGAAAGAAUAUGUGAAUAAAGAAAUAAUACAAAUAGUCUAAAUACAUUAUCUUUCUUGGAAUAAGGGAGAUGCUUAUUUUAAUCCCAUAGAUUUUUAAAUAGAGUGCAUAAAAGAAAGUUACUCAAGAUGAAAUUGGAAUAUCACUAUAUGACAUGUUCUGAGGAAACAAAAUUUAUGGCAGGUAUGCUUUCAUGAAGAAAACAGACAAGUAAGGAUUUAACAAAAUGGCAUGUUCAGAAUAACAGAGCGACAAGAUCCCUUUUGGGGACAUCAGGCAGAUAGGGAUGGAUCAAGUCCCCAGACUCGUGAAGGGAUGAAGGAGAAGAAGUAGGUGAACAAAAUUGCUUCUGGAGAUUUUGCCUUCUUUGUGGUCUUGUCUAGAGUCCUUCAAAUAGUUUUAAUAAACAGUUACUUGAUGAAUGCCCAAAAUGUCUCAAGUGUAACCUAAGUUAUAACUAAUAUUAAAAAUAGGAGGGUUUUAGUUUUUUGCUACUUGUUUCCUUCCAAACAGUCUCUGCACUUAUGAUUUUCCAACCGUUAUCUAUUCUUGCUUCUUAGGUUUUAUAGUUUUUAUUUUUUGGUUAGAGCAACUAAAUUUCACCAAUAGGGUCUGGAACACUUAAGGGAUUUUUACCCAUAGAACUAACUUUUACACAAUAGCCUGAAAAGAAGUAACAGCAUUUUGGCAUUUUACAUUGUGAAAGGAGGAGCAAUUUUAUUUAUUAGAACACCUAAGCUAUUGGCUUUCACCACAAUCUAAAAUAAACUGUCUUGCUAUUUAAACCGUGGGUACGAUGACCUAUUUUCUACUUCUGUUCAGAGAAAAUUCAAAUAAUUGUGAAGAAAAAAUAUUGAAUGUCAAAGUGCAUUUGCCUUUGCAGAAAUAGUAUGAGGUGUUAUUAAUGAGGAUCUGCAGAUAACCACAAUUUUGCACCGUUCAACAUUCAUAAAUAACUACUGGCUAAAUCAAGGGAGCAAUUUCUGCUCCUAUUGUGUCUUGCAUGUGAAGUGUACAUGUUAUCUCAACAUCAAAGUGUGUGUAGUACUACCAAAGGAAGGAAUAUGAUGAUAGAAACAUUUUGAGCAACAAGUUAUCAGUAGAUCACUUAGUGGUAUGGCAGUGUUCCAACCAGGCAUAGUUUCUUUUGUGAUGCAAACAAAGGUUGUUCUUUUGCCUGUGUUUGAAAUCCAACCUGAUAUACAUGAUUUGUUCCACUAGGCUACUGGCUGAUUUAAGUAGGUACAUAUUUCUUUUAAUUAAUAUUGUGAAUAUAUAAAUUACAAAUAUAUUAUGUAUUUGUAUAUAUUACUAUAUAUUACAUAUAUUACUGUGAAAAAAUAUAUAUAAUAGUCUAAAAUUUUGUGCUGCCCCAAAUUUAUGUAUUGAUAUUCUAACCCCCAAGGUGAUGGAAUUAGGAGAUAAGGUCUUUGGGCAGUGCUGUGUUCUGAAUGUUUGUGUUUCUCCAGAAUUCAGAUGCUGAAAUCUAAUCCCCAAUGAGUUGGUAUUAAGAGGUGAAGGCUUUGGGACGUGACAAGGUCAUGAGGGUGGACCCCUCAUUAAUUGGAUUUGUGCUCUUAAAAAGAGGCCAAGAGAGAUUAUUUGCCGCUAUUACCCCGUGAGCAAGAAGCACCAUCUUAGAAGUAGAGAGUGGGCCCUCACUAGACACUGAAUCUGCUGACACCUUGAA